rnacentral:rRNA from 1 species
GAUGAACGCUGGCGGCGUGCCUAAUACAUGCAAGUCGAGCGAAUGGAUUAAGAGCUUGCUCUUAUGAAGUUAGCGGCGGACGGGUGAGUAACACGUGGGUAACCUGCCCAUAAGACUGGGAUAACUCCGGGAAACCGGGGCUAAUACCGGAUAACAUUUUGAACCGCAUGGUUCGAAAUUGAAAGGCGGCUUCGGCUGUCACUUAUGGAUGGACCCGCGUCGCAUUAGCUAGUUGGUGAGGUAACGGCUCACCAAGGCAACGAUGCGUAGCCGACCGGAGAGGGUGAUCGGCCACACUGGGACUGAGACACGGCCCAGACUCAUGCGGGAGGCAGCAGUAGGGAAUCUUCCGCAAUGGACGAAAGUCUGACGGAGCAACGCCGCGUGAGUGAUGAAGGCUUUCGGGUCGUAAAACUCUGUUGUUAGGGAAGAACAAGUGCUAGUUGAAUAAGCUGGCACCUUGACGGUACCUAACCAGAAAGCCACGGCUAACUACGUGCCAGCCGCCGCGGUAA